UUUAAUAAGAGUGGGUGUUCGGUGAUGUAUAAAAUAAUGCCCGUCUUAUUCAACGACAGACUCCUCCUUUCCCGGUGACGGCCAGAUCCGACCCGCUCCGAAACGCCGCUCGCAGGCGGGCGACACGCUACCAAACGCAGCAUUUCUAGGGUUGGAUUUUUUUGUUAAUCUUUUCCUUUACUUUUAACAACCGAAAUCAAAAUUCAAAGAAACGAGAAGGGGAAGGAAUCGAUGGGGGUUUUGGGAGACAAGAGCAGCUGGUGCUUCUGCUCCGGCGGCGGUAAAUCGGAGAGAGUCAAGGGGAGCAUAUUUUCCGGCAAGUCGCCGGCGAUGGCUGAAAUCUCCGGCGGAGGAACUGGGUUCCUCAUUCACCGGAGUCUUCUGCUCACUACGCAUGCUAACAUCCCGUCGGUGGCGGUGGCGGAGGCGGCGGAGGUUCGAAUCAAUCGCGGUCGAGAUUUGGCUUGCUUGGUACCUCUCAGAUUUUUUAUUACCAGUUCUAUUCUUGACCUCACAAUUGUCGGCUUCGACACUGUGGAUGCUGAUUCAGCUGCCCAGGGACACCAGCCUCAUUAUAUCAAAACCUGCUGCAAUCCAGCACUUGACCUGGGUAGCAUAGUCUACAUGUUAGGGCAUACAGAUAAAAAGGAGCUCGUGGUUGGCGAGGGUAAAUUAGUGAUAGCUACAGACAACCUAAUCAAGCUCUCGACUGAUGGUGUAACAUGGUCCCCUGGGUCUGCAGGCUUUGAUGUGCAAGGAAAUCUAGCCUUCAUGGUUUGUGAUCCCAUGAAGCUUGCGACAUCUCCCACUGCAAAAUCUUCUGCCUCAACUUCGUCCUCUUCAUCACUGUCAAGGAAGAAGGAUUCUUCUAUGCAAUUUGGAAUCCCAAUUCCUAUCAUCCGUGAUUGGUUCCACCAACACUGGGAGGGCAGCUUGGAUGAGCUUAGUAAACCUAAACUACCUCUCAUCCGAUUGAUGUCCUCCGGUCAAAAGAGUGAGCACUCAAGUGCAUCUUUCACCCAGCGCCGUGUUUUCAAGUCCACGGAAGGAGAGAAUGAUGAUUUCUCGUCAUCUUCACAGAUAGAUUCAAAACCUAGGUUUGCGCUUGGAUCAAACAAUUCAGCCAAUGCAAAUACAUCCCAUGAACAGGGAAUUCCAACCCCAGAGAUCUUUGAAUCUCCUAAGCUGACUUCCGGGCCAUUACGGAGAAAAGAAACCAGUCCAAACCAUCUUUUGGAUACAAAUUGCCCUCCUAGAAUUCCGAGAUCUAUUGUUCUUCCACUGCCCUUAAAACAAUUGCUAAUGGACUCUAAUGAAAACAAUGCCAAAGAUCCUAAAUCUGCAAAUCCAGCAAGAGAAGAUUACAAUCCGCAACUGGGUCAUUGUAUGCUUCGUUAUGGCCAAGAUGGUGAUUGUUGCAGUGAGGUUAUGUCUAGUUCAUCUCCUAUUGAAGCUUCUGGAGCACACGACGAUGAAGAUGGGUUUAGCAGUGGCGCGGAUACCAUGCACUCGGCUGAAACUAUGGAGAGCAGGAACUUCCCAAGCCCUAAAGAGAACAGAUUUCAGAAAGUUGGUAGGAGUCAGAGUUGUGUGAAUUAUAGCAGGUGGAAUUCUAGUUCUACUCAAAGAAAUUCAGCAGCAAGAAGAGCAGCACUGCAGAAGCAACAGAGUAUGGUUCCUAUGAGAAAAACACGCUCACAAGCUGCUUCAUUACCUCAGAGAAGUCAUGAUUAUUUCAGCCCUACAGUCUCCUCAAGCAUGAAGAAGAGGAAUAGCUCAGAGCAGCCUCCACGACCUCGUGAAAGUGCGGCUCAGGCAUCUCCAAGAGUGAUGAUAAGAUGACAAACUAAAUUCAACAAAAAAAAGUUCUGAACAGAUAACCGAAAAAGUCUGACAUUAUGUUAAGGGAAGAAGAAGAAGAGAUUAUUGCACAUCGCACCCAUUGCAAACAAAUUAUUUCCCAUUUUUUGCAACCAGAAAUGAAGACAGGCUAAUAAAAAUAACUAAACCCAACACAGAUGCCCACUUCUUCAGAACCUCAUGCAACCAACAAUGGAACAGUGCCCACUUGCAAAACA